GACGAACGCUGGCGGCGUGCUUAACACAUGCAAGUCGAGCGGUAAGGCCCUUUCGGGGGUACGACGAGCGGCGAACGGGUGAGUAACACGUGGGUGACCUGCCCUCAGCUCUGGGAUAAGCCUGGGAAACUGGGUCUAAUACUGGAUAUGACUCCACGGUGCAUGUCGGUGGGGUGGAAAGCCUUGUGCGGCUGAGGAUGGGCCCGCGGCCUAUCAGCUUGUUGGUGGGGUGANGGCCUACCAAGGCGACGACGGGUAGCCGGCCUGAGAGGGCGACCGGCCACACUGGGACUGAGACACGGCCCAGACUCCUACGGGAGGCAGCAGUGGGGAAUCUUGCGCAAUGGGCGAAAGCCUGACGCAGCGACGCCGCGUGAGGGAUGACGGCCU
rnacentral:rRNA from 1 species